CCUACGGGUGGCAGCAGUGGGGAAUAUUGCACAAUGGGGGAAACCCUGAUGCAGCGACGCCGCGUGAGUGAAGAAGUAUCUAGGUACGUACAGCUCUAUCAGCAGGGAAGAAAAUGACGGUACCUGACUAAGAAGCCCGGGCUACCUACGUGCAGCAGGCCGCGGUAUAACGUGGGGGCCAAGGGUUAUCCGGAUUUACUGGUGUUAAAGGGAGCGUAGACGGCAGCACAAGUCUGGAGUGAAAUCCCGGGGCUUAACCCCGGAACUGCUUUGGAACCUGUGCGGCUGGGGUGCAGGAGGGGUAAGCGGAAUUCCUAGUGUAGCGGUGAAAUGCGUAGAUAUUAGGAGGAACACCGGUGGCGAAGGCGGCUUACUGGACUGUAACUGACGUUGAGGCUCGAAAGCGUGGGGAGCAAACAGGAUUAGAUACCCGGGUAGUC
rnacentral:rRNA from 1 species